AAAGUGACGUCACCCAAAAUUUUUUUUCUCUUGACGUCUUCAAUCUAUAGUGAUCAGCUAGCCGAAUUCCUCAGUCUGGAGACAACCGCGCGGUAGAGAGGACGUACGAGAAUCGCGCUCCGCAGAUUUCGAGUACCGGGUUCUCUAUCUCCUGGAUUCUGCGCUCCGGGUCCGUUUCGUGGUGCAACUCGAGUUCCAGGAGAAGCGCGCGGUAGUUUCCAUGCUCCAGGUCGGCUACCUGGUGAAACUCGACUUUUAGGACAAGCGCUACGUAGUUCUGGCUGUUCAGGUUCUUGACCUGGUGACUUUUGACCUUCCGGACUAAUUUUCAAGUUUACAAGUUUGAUUAUUGAAAACGUCAUGUUUUGUACAAUCAAACCAAAAUGCGUGUUUCAGAUAACACUUUGAAUCGGAAAAAACCGAACGACCAGGAUCAACAAAUUGCAAUUGACAAAAAUUACGCACUCCAUCUUUCCGGCCAAUUCGAGAUUCCAGCGACGAGGUGCUUCAAUGACCAACUAAUGACUUCCCCAUUUUGCGACAAUUGAUGGUAUAACCCGAGGUAGUUCGCGGUGGUUGCGGGUGAUCGAGGUGGGCGAGG
rnacentral:lncRNA from 1 species